UGGAAGAUUUUUAUUUGCUUACUUCUGGCACAAGGAUAAUUUUCUCAGUGUCACUGGAGAAGAUGGCAUUCCCCUGGACCUUGGUCAUUCAGGGCCACCCGAUGAUGGGCAGGAGGCUGGCCAGGAUUGCAUUGAGGAUGGCAGUGACAUAGCCCCACCCAGCUGGCACUGCCCACCACGGUGCAUGGAGGGGGCCUCGCAGACUGCUUUGGCUAACGGGGAG
rnacentral:lncRNA from 1 species